rnacentral:sRNA from 1 species
ACGUGCGGCCGCCUGGUGGUGGUGGAGGACCUGCACUCCGGCGCGCAGCAGCACUGGUCCGGCCACUCUGCGGAGAUCUCCACGCUGGCCCUCAGCCACAGUGCCCAGGUGCCCGCCUGCAUCGCCCUCCUCCUCUCCCAGGGCCACCGUGCCCGGCAGAACCCAGCUCCCGGACCGGUGCGGGUUCUCACCACCAAAGACGGAGCAGACGGCCACCCCAGCCUCCACUCCAGCCAGCCACGGCCUCCCCACUCACGCCUGCCCUCUUGCCUGCCAGGUCCUGGCCUCUGCCUCGGGCCGCAGCAGCACGACCGCCCAUUGUCAGAUCCGCGUCUGGGACGUGUCUGGCGGCCUCUGCCAGCAUCUCAUUUUCCCCCAUAGCACCACCGUGCUGGCCCUGGCCUUCUCACCAGAUGACAGGCUUCUUGUCACACUGGGGGACCACGAUGGCCGCACCCUCGCCCUGUGGGGCACGGCCACCUAUGACCUCGUGUCCUCCACCCGCCUCCCGGAGCCGGUGCAUGGCGUGGCCUUCAACCCCUGGGACACCGGCGAGCUCACCUGUGUGGGCCAGGGCACUGUCACCUUCUGGCUCCUUCAGCUGCGCGGGGCAGACAUCAGCCUUCAGGUGCGUCGAGAGCCGGUCCCAGAGGCAGUGGGGGCUGGAGAGCUGACCUCGCUCUGCUACGGGGCACCCCCCCUGCUCUAUUGUGGCACCAGCUCUGGCCAGGUCUGUGUCUGGGACACGCGUGCUGGCCGCUGCUUCCUGUCCUGGGAGGCGGACGACGGUGGCAUUGGGCUGUUGCUGUUCUCGGGUUCUCGAUUGGUCAGCGGCAGCAGCACGGGGCGGCUGUGCCUGUGGGCUGUGGGGGCUGUGUCGGAGCUGAGGUGCAAGGGCUCAGGCGCCAGGUCCAGUUCUGUGUUCAUGGAACACGAGCUGGUGCUGGACGGGGCUGUGGUGAGCGCCAGCUUCGAUGACAGCGUGGACAUGGGCGUCGUGGGCACCACGGCGGGCACGCUGUGGUUUGUCAGCUGGGCCGAGGGCACCAGCACGCGUCUCAUCAGUGGCCACAGGAGCAAGGUGAACGAGGUGGUCUUCAGCCCCGGGGAGUCCCACUGCGCCACAUGCAGUGAGGAUGGGAGUGUGCGGGUGUGGGCCUUGGCCAGCAUGGAGCUUGUGAUCCAGUUCCAGGUGCUGAACCAGAGCUGCCUCUGCCUGGCAUGGAGCCCCCCGUGCUGUGGCCGCCCUGAGCAGCAGCGGCUAGCGGCUGGCUACGGUGACGGCUCCCUGCGCAUCUUCAGCAUCUCCCGCACGGCCAUGGAGCUCAAGAUGCACCCCCACCCGGUGGCGCUGACCAGUGUUGCCUUCUCCACUGACGGUCAGACUGUCCUCUCUGGAGACAAGGAUGGGCUCGUGGCUGUGAGCCACCCCCGCACAGGGACAACCUUCCGUGUGCUGAGUGACCACCAGGGCGCCCCAAUCUCUACCAUCUGUGUCACGUGCAAAGAGUGUGAAGACUUAGGGGUGGAGGGCACAGACCUAUGGCUGGCUGCCAGUGGGGACCAGCGGGUCAGCGUCUGGGCCUCCGACUGGCUGCGGAACCGCUGUGAGCUUGUGGACUGGUUGAGUUUCCCAAUGCCUGCCACCACGGAGGUAAACCAUGCUCCUGGCACUGUGGGUGGGGCCGGUACCCAUCCACCCCACCGCAGCAUGCUGCGCCUUUGCAGACUCAGGGCCACCUGCCACCCUCCCUCGCUGCCUUCUGCCCUUGGGAUGGGGCGCUCCUGAUGUACGUGGGCCCCGGUGUUUACAAGGAGGUGAUCAUCUACAACCUCUGCCAGAAGCAGGUGGUGGAGAAGAUACCACUGCCCUUUUUUGCCAUGUCCCUGAGCCUGUCCCCCGGGACCCACCUCCUGGCUGUUGGCUUUGCUGAGUGCAUGCUGAGGCUGGUAGACUGUGCCAUGGGGACUGCCCAAGACUUUGCCGGCCACGACAAUGCAGUGCACCUGUGCAGGUUUACACCGUCCGCCAGGCUGCUCUUCACGGCCGCCCGCAACGAGAUCCUUGUGUGGGAGGUCCCCGGCCGCUGAGAUGCAGCAGGGACUGUGGUGGUGGGCAUCACGCCUGGUCAUGCCAGGCACCUGGACAGAGGCUUGGCAGAGGCGCCAGGUUGUCAAUGGCCUCAUGCUGGGACAGGCCAGGAUUCAUGUAAAUCGCCUGGAGCAAGCUGUUGUAAAUUUGGCGACCUGUAAAUACUUUCAUACCUGUUGCCCUUUUGCCUAAGAAAUCUUUAAUGUUUCUAUCUUGUAAUAAACAUGGGCAUUUAUUGC